rnacentral:rRNA from 1 species
CAGCCGCCACGGUAAUACAGAGGGUGCAAGCGUUAAUCGGAAUUACUGGGCGUAAAGCGCGCGUAGGUGGUUCGCCAAGUUGGAUGUGAAAUCCCCGGGCUCAACCUGGGAACUGCAUCCAAAACUGGCGAGCUAGAGUAUGGUAGAGGGUGGUGGAAUUUCCUGUGUAGCGGUGAAAUGCGUAGAUAUAGGAAGGAACAUCAGUGGCGAAGGCGACCACCUGGACUGAUACUGACACUGAGGUGCGAAAGCGUGGGGAGCAAACAGGAUUAGAUACCCGCGUAGUCCCUGUCUCUUAUAC